rnacentral:lncRNA from 1 species
CCUGUUGAAUCAGAAUCAGACUCUCUGAGGUCAGUGCCAAGGAUGGUAUAUUUUAACAGGUGCACCUAGGAGAUUCCCACAUCCCUGAAAAUUUAAGAGCCACUGGACUGAAUAAGCUCCUCACCCAGAGGAUCUGUUUGUUUGCUCAUCACUAUAUACCCAGAGCCUCGCAUAACGCCCAACCUGUAGUCCAUGCUCGACAAAUAUCAGAUGAAUCCAUUACAUGGUUUCACCUCUAGAAGUAUUUGUUCCAUUUGUUUGAAGACUCACUAUGUGUUAGGCUCAUGCAAAGCAAUGCUGAUUCAGGCAAUUUCAUUCAUUCUGAAAAUCGUUACUGGGUGCUUAGUGCAUACCAGGAACUGUUCUAGACACCGGAGAUACAAAAAAUGUGAUGAACGAGGUUGCUCAGAGACAUAAUACUUUAUAGAUCAUAAUGUGUGCUAUGGAGCUAAUAAAGCAAGGUAAGGGGCCAAGUGUGUGCCAUGUCCUCAUUCAACCUAGUGUCUAGAGCAGCACUAGUCCUGCCCAGCAGAACUUUCUAUGAUAGUGGAAAUGAUCUAUUCUGCAACAUCCCAUGAUAGCCACUAGCCACAUGGGGCUACUGGGCACUUGAAAUGUGGCUGGUGCCACCGAGGGACUGAAUGUUUUAUUUAAUUAUAAUUAAUUUUAACUUUAAUAGCCAUAUGUGCCCAUAUUAGACAGUGCAGGUCGAGAGGCAAAGAGGCAGAUAUGUGAGCUGGAAAUUACAACAAAAGGCAACAUGAGCUAUGAGGAGGGGAAGACAGAGCACCAUGUGCUAUAUCAAAUGCCUCUCACCCAAUUACCAGAUGCCCUAAUGUUCUCUGGCUCUGGGAAUUGAAAGAACAAGGUCAGGUACGAGGCAUUGUGCUUGGGCUGGAAUUUUUAUAGCCCAUGAUCAGUUGAAAAUGGUAUGCAGCCCGGCCAAGCCCCAGAGACUGCAGCUCAGGAUCACACCACCAUCUGCAAAGCCAGGCCACAGCUGCCAAAGAGAUCUCUUUCCUCCCCGUCAUUCUGCUGAUGGUCAUUUUGUCCUUGGCUACAACGUCCCACUGGGCCCGAGACACUGCAAGGAUUUUAUGAGAUUUCUUUGCUUCAAGCUAGGGGAAGGCAAACAGAAGAGAAUUCAGCAACUGCCACUUUGAAACAAUUUUGGGGCAAGACAUGAAGAUUCACAAAAUGCAGUUUCUAGAAGCGGCUGGAAUGUAAGCUGCAAGGAAGGGAGCAGAAACGUCAUCUGUCUCACCAUGGCUGUCUCCCUACCAUCCAGAGUGGUAUCUCACACAGAAAAUGCAAUCAAUAAAUAUCUGUUAAAUGGC